rnacentral:RNase_P_RNA from 1 species
GCGAGCUGAACAGGUAGUUUCGCUUCUCUGUCAAAGGAGAAGUGAGGAAGUUCCCUCCACCCGUCAAGGUGCUGUGGAAUCAGCCAGCUGAGAAGUUGGAACCAGAAUCAGAAACGAAUCUGUUGCCAGCGAUAAGAAUGAUGAAAUGACUUGCUGGUAAUGGAAUGAAACGGUCUGGUAUAACCUUGGGUGCAAGCGUUCGCGCUUAGAUAAAUGCUACCUAAACAGAAGAGGGGCUAUGGGCAGCACGC